rnacentral:tRNA from 1 species
UAAAAUAAAGCUGAACUAGCUACUUAUUUACAUUAAGUUGGUCUCUUUUAUCCAGUAUAGAGUAUUUUAA